rnacentral:lncRNA from 1 species
AAAUCUUCUUUUUUAGAUCACAUCUCAACAGCCUGAUUAUUAUCUAUAUACCUAUCUCGUGUCACGGGGUUAGUGACUGAACUCCUCUCCUCUAAUAGGUAGGUCUGCGAAUCGGAUGUAAGCUAUUUUUCAUCUUCAUAUCUCUUUACGUUUUACCUGCUCAUAUCAGUUACAAGAGGUGCGAAAUGAAAAAUACCAACAUGGAACACGGAGAAGGAGUCAACCUCGACUGCUCAUACUUGACACUGUCAAACAAAAUGACCAAAAACGGCAAAAAAACUCUAACAUUUAACAAUUAAGGCACCACCCUAAAUGUUUAGCGGUCUGCUCAUAGGCACAGUUCAAAAAGAAUAGCAAUCUUUGUUGUUUUUCAAGUAGGUCUGCAAAUAGGUCGUACGAUUUUUUUUCUUCAUAUCACAACUUAACUAAUAAUCGCGAUUUGAAUGUGCUUUUUUGAUUAAUUAGGG